rnacentral:sRNA from 1 species
UUUUAGCAUGAAGGAUGGAAGUGGUAUCCUUUUAUGGAUCUCGUUUUUUAAAGAGAGGAAUAAAAGAUAUAGCGUACAGCCCGACCGCGC